rnacentral:rRNA from 1 species
AUUGAACGCUGGCGGCAUGCUUUACACAUGCAAGUCGAACGGCAGCGCGGGGCAACCUGGCGGCGAGUGGCGAACGGGUGAGUAAUACAUCGGAACGUACCCAGAAGUGGGGGAUAACGUAGCGAAAGUUACGCUAAUACCGCAUACGUUCUACGGAAGAAAGUGGGGGACCUUCGGGCCUCAUGCUUUUGGAGCGGCCGAUGUCUGAUUAGCUAUUUGGUAGGGUAAAGGCCUACCAAGGCGACGAUCAGUAGCUGGUCUGAGAGGACGACCAGCCACAGUGGGACUGGGACACGGCCCAGACCCCUACGGGAGGCAGCAGUGGGGAAUUGUGGACAAGGGGCGCAAGCCUGAUCCAGCAAUGCCGCGUGAGUGAAGAAGGCCUUCGGGUUGUAAAGCUCUUUUGUCAGGGAAGAAACGGCUGAGGUUAAUACCUUUGGCUAAUGACGGUACCUGAAGAAUAAGCACCGGCUAACUACGUGCCAGCAGCCGCAGUAACAC